rnacentral:misc_RNA from 1 species
CCUCUUUGUUGUGGGCGAUUGGGUAAUGUUCUAUUCUCUUCAUAUUUCAUAUUUGUGGUGGUCAGCAUAUUCAUAUGUCAGUUGUCAUGAUAGUGUUUCCAUUACUUCCUCUAUUGAUAAUUUCCAUUAUUGUGGUAGUUUUGUACCCAUGAACUGGUUUCUAUCCCAUUAAGACAUAAAACCAUGCUCAUCAAGGAUGACGCAUAGCGUGCAACUUCAAAUUUUGUUAAAUUCCUUGUUUAUAAUGCUUACAUAUUACUUUAUCUUUUGGGCAAUGAUGUGGAAAAUCUUUAUUGAAUUCAUCCAAGUUUUGGAUAUUGAAGCGGGUCUGGUGUCUAACGGAGUUGAAUGGCAAAAAAGAAUCCCUAUAACCACUCAAAUAUUUUGAGAUUAAGGCUUAGUUGUCGUUAUUGUUGAGGGUUUGGUGGGGAAGGGGAAGGGCUCCAGUGCGUGGGGUUGUUGUUUUUGGUGGUGGUUGGGUGUUUGGCC